rnacentral:pre_miRNA from 1 species
UGCCUCUUCAAUUCCGUAGUGCAUUGCAGAUGAUUGUUCGAUUUACGAGAAAGAACCUGCAAGCACCGCGGGAGUGAGGUGGCCUC